UACAGAGGUCUCAAGCGUUGUUCGGAUUCAUUGGGCGUAAAGGGUGCGUAGGCGGCGCGGUAAGUCGGGUGUGAAAUCUCGGAGCUUAACUCCGAAACUGCAUUCGAUACUGCCGUGCUUGAGGACUGGAGAGGAGACUGGAAUUUACGGUGUAGCGGUGAAAUGCGCAGAUAUCAGGAGGAGCACCGGUGGCGAAGGCGGGUCUCUGGGCAAUAACUGACGCUGAGGAGCGAAAGCGUGGGGAGCGAACAGG
rnacentral:rRNA from 1 species